rnacentral:rRNA from 1 species
UACGUAGGGAGCAAGCGUUGUCCGGAUUCAUUGGGCGUAAAGCGCGCGUAGGUGGCUUCGUAAGUCCGUUGUGAAAGUCAAAGGCUCAACCUUUGAAAGCCGAUGGAUACUGUGAAGCUAGAGUACGGAAGAGGCGAGUGGAAUUCCUGGUGUAGCGGUGGAAUGCGCAGAUAUCAGGAGGAACACCAAUAGCGAAGGCAGCUCGCUGGGACGUUACUGACACUGAGGCGCGAAAGCGUGGGGAGCGAACAGG